ensembl:lncRNA
UUCUCGUCUCGCCGUGUUCCCUGUCGGAUCGGCUCGCUACUGCUGCUCCCGACUGCACGCAAGGCUUCAGUACUAGCAUGUGUCUAUGACUACGACUAUGACUACAAGCCACAGUUGUUAUGGGGAUAUCAAGGAAAGUGAUGCGCAGUGUCCCCACAAGGGGAUACCCAUGGUCACAAGUAGCAAAUGCUACUGAAUGAGAACUGAACAGCUGCACCAGGCAGAGCCCACAGAUGCAAACAAACUCACUUGGGAAAGAUAAUCACACAUCCUGAGAAGGUCAAAGAGGCCACAGCUGCCACUGGGGAUACAGUCAUGUCCAUCAGCCAGAGGAUCUGCAAUGGAGGAUACCUCAAGUCAUCAAGGGAGACCAAGGGACCCAUUUUACUGGUGCAAUGAUACAGCACUGGGCAGAAGAAAAUAACAUUGAAUGGCGAUUGCACCUGCCAUAUAAUCCAACAGAGGCGAGCCUCAUUGAACAUUAUAAUGGUAUUCUUCAGGCUGCCCUGAAGUCCCAGGGGUGGACAAAGAGACUAUGAAACCCUGCAGGAUUUGAAUGAAAGACCUUGAGACGGCAGACCCAGUGCCCUGACAGUGCUACAGACAACAUGGACCUCCCUGCUUAGGAUCCAAAUUACGGGCACUGAUAAUCAGGUAAGACCCCAGAUUGGCAAUGAAAAUAAUCUUCUGCUGCCUGCCCCUGAGAAUUUACAUCUGGGCACCCAUAGAAUAAAAUAGCCUUGGAAGGUGCAGGUAGGACCUAAAUGGUGUGGGCUACUUGCACCCUGGGGGAGAUUAUUGGAGGUGGGAGGCUCAGUAGUCCCUCCAGUAAUAGGUACAUGGCCUAUGGAUAUUGUGGUCAACACUCCAAUCUUCACUGCUAAAAGGACCUCCAUCAUGUCCCUAUGGCAGAUCAGGACACCCCCUUUGGUGCCUAACAUAGUUGUGAAGCUGCAGACAUCUGGCCAAAUGGUAUGGUACAGGCAGCUGGGGCAUGCCCCAGUACAAGCUGAAGUGUUGACCCAGGAUAGAAAUACAGCCUUUAUCUUCCCCUGGAGGGCAGACCUUCCCCUCCUGCUAUCUUUGAAACAUCUGUAUUACUUCCCGUGAGUCUUUGAGCCUCCAGAACCAUCGGAAGGAACAAAACGUCAUCAAAGUGUUCCAGUGUUACUGCCAGAUCAUGUGUGACACUCAGUGAUGGUCAACAUGGGACUAAUGAAACAUAGGAUGGACUUGCACCUCACGACUACAUGCCUCAAGUAACAUCAUCAAGCACUGGCCCACAGAAGAACGUGAACUUGCACCGAUCAUCACUUGCAAUGUGAUGAUUGUGAAUGUCAAUAUACACUGUGACAGGAAAUUGUAUCAGCAUCGUGAUGUGUUGGAUCUCUGUAGUAGGAAAGACUCACUCAUUUGUUAACUCAAUCAUUGGUUCAUGCUGUGAAGGGGUGGAUUGUAUGGGAACUGUUGAAUCGUGGCCCAAACCUCUGAUUGACCAUCGAGGCAAACACUGAGUCAGCUGUAGGAGCAUAUGUGAAGGCAGUUCAGCUGUAUGACCAAAAGAGGUGGAGCCAGGCUACACCUCUCCUAGACCCCAUUUAAGAGCUGACUGCCAGUGACGAAGGAUCUGUCUCUAGAGAUUCCUCCUCUUGGCAUCUUUUUUAGUGAGCCCCAGACAUGGGUAAGCAUUCCAUUUGUCUCUGACUAUCCCUCUCUAACAUGAUAGUCUUUCUAGCCUAACUGUGCAUAUAUAUAUAUAUAAAACUGUAUAUAUAUAAUCUGUAUACUUAUUGACCUUACACCUUUGAACAAUUUUGGAUGGAAGUUUUUUUUUUUUUUUUUUUUUUUUUUUUUUACUUUCUUUGGAUAAUUUGCUUUGCCAUUAUACUGUAUUCUAUGUGUUUUCUUUUUCUUGGUAUUUCAUUGCUUUGCUUUGCCUUCUAAGUUUGCUUUUUUUUCUUUUUUUUCCCUCCUUUCCAUUUUGCUUUUCUUUUCUGCUCUGUUGGUUUUCCUUUCUAUUGUUUCUUUUCCUUUUUGUGUCUCUUUUUCAUUCCUCUUCUUUUCAAAUUAGUUUUCUUUGCAUUCCUUUGUGAUUCUCUUUUUUAAUCCUUUCCAUUUUUCUCUUCCUUCCCUUCCUUCUCACGUUCCUUGUCCCCGUGCUCGUCGCCUUCCUCUUACCUUGCCUUUACUUACCUGAUGUUAGCCCUCUUGAUUGUUCAUUUUUAUCUUUCCUUUGCUGACUUCUUUAACUCAAGCUUGUUCCCUACACUUUCCUCCCGUGCUUGGUGGUGUUGCAGUCCUUUCUCAGUGGCACAGAUGGCUUCACACCUCCUGGGUAUCCUUGCCUCUUUCCUUGUCAUGGACUUUAUGCUUUUCCUCAGAUCGCUGGCAAGAUCCAUGCCCAGUAGCUCCCCUUACCUCCUCCUUGGCAUGACUCUGAGUGCUUUCCCUUUCUCCGGAGAGAUGUUUUAUCCUCAUUAGCAGCCGUGCACUCCUUCAGGGGAGCCAGCUGAGAAAGCGCAUCUCUGGUGGAGGUAGUAGCAUGUCCAGUAGCUACCCUUUCCUCCUCCCACACAUGGAUGGUAAGCUUCUGGCCUGCACCACUGUCAUUUGUCACCUUUGCUUUGCCAUGACAUUGAAUCCUAUUUCUUUGGUGUUCUGUUGAUUGAUGGUUUAGUUUUCUUUAUUGUUGUUUCCGUUUAUUUUCAUUGGUGCGCACUGGUUUGCUUUCCUUUGUUUACUUGAUUCUUAUUUAGUUUUCUUUAUUUUUGCUUUUGCUUUGCUUUCCAUUGUUUAUUUCAUUUUUGUUUGUUUGUUUUUCUUUGGUUUUCUUUUUCUUGUACUUGUUUUUUUCCCUUGGCUUUUUGGUUUUCUUUCUUUCCUUUGCUUUGCCCUACUUUCUACUUUGCUGGUUCUCUUUUAUUUCCUUUUUUUUUUUUUUGUCUGUAUUUUUCAUUCUCUAUCUUUUGUUAGCUUGCAUUUUUUUCUCUUUCUUUUUUUUGAAUCCUUUGUUUUGCCAUUAUAUUGUGUUCUGUGUGUUUGCAUUUUUUUGUUGUUUUUGAUUCUCAGUUCCCCCCCCCCUUUCUGGUGUGUGUUUUUUGUGCUUUUAUUUUGUUUUGCUUUUUUUUUUUAUGAUUAGAAUUUUGUUUUGGUGGGUUUUUUUUAACUUUUUGUGUUUUUGUUUCUUGUAAUUUUUGUGGGUUUUGUGUGUUUUUUUGUUGAUUUUUUUAAUUUUAGGUUUUUAUUUUGGUUGGAUUUGUUUUUUCUUUUUUCUUUUUUUUCCCCUUUAUUUCUUUCUUGUGUGUGUUUUCUCAUUUGUCAUUUUCGUUAUUGUUUUGUCUUUUUGUGUGUGUUUUAUGUGUUUUGUCUUUUGGCUUUUUUUUUUUGUUUGUUUUUCUAAAAAAAAAUUGUUUUUGUGGUUUUUUUCCUUCUUUUGUUGUUCUUUUAUUUGUUUCUCUCUUUUGUGUGUGUAUUUUUUUGUUUCUUAGUUUUUUGUGUGUGCUUAUUGUUUCAUUUUGUUUUUCUUUUUU